rnacentral:rRNA from 1 species
AUUGAACGCUGGCGGCAGGCCUAACACAUGCAAGUCGAACGGUAACAGGAAGCAGCUUGCUGCUUCGCUGACGAGUGGCGGACGGGUGAGUAAUGUCUGGGAAACUGCCUGAUGGAGGGAGAUAACUACUGGAAACGGUAGCUAAUACCGCAUAACGUCGCAAGACCAAAGAGGGGGACCUUAGGGCCUCUUGCCAUCGGAUGUGCCCAGAUGGGAUUAGCUAGUAGGUGGGGUAACGGCUCACCUAGGCGACGAUCCCUAGCUGGUCUGAGAGGAUGACCAGCCACACUGGAACUGAGACACGGUCCAGACUCCUACGGGAGGCAGCAGUGGGGAAUAUUGCACAAUGGGCGCAAGCCUGAUGCAGCCAUGCCGCGUGUAUGAAGAAGGCCUUCGGGUUGUAAAGUACUUUCAGCGGGGAGGAAGGGAGUAAAGUUAAUACCUUUGCUCAUUGACGUUACCCGCAGAAGAAGCACCGGCUAACUCCGUG